rnacentral:rRNA from 1 species
UACAGAGGGUGCGAGCGUUAAUCGGAAUUACUGGGCGUAAAGCGCACGUAGGCGGCUUGGUAUGUCGGGUGUGAAAUCCCCGGGCUCAACCUGGGAACUGCAUCCGAAACUGCCUUGCUAGAGUAUGGGAGAGGGAAGUGGAAUUUCCGGUGUAGCGGUGAAAUGCGUAGAUAUCUGGAGGAAUACCGGUGGCGAAGGCGGCAUCCUGGACCGGCAGUUGACGCUGAGGAGCGAAAGCCAGGGGAGCAAACGGG